rnacentral:misc_RNA from 1 species
UGGCUCUCGCAUCGAUGAAGAACGCAGCGAAUAGCGAUAUGUAAUGUGAAUUGCAGAUCUCAGUGAAUCAUCGAAUCUUUGAACGCACCUUGCACCCUUUGGUAUUCCGAAGGGUAUGCCUGUUUGAGUGUCAUUAAUAUCAUCAAUUGCUUAUCUUUUGUUUAAAAGAUCAUUCAAUUGGACUUGGAGGUAUUCUGCUGGCUGCAAAGUUAGCUCCUCUUAAAUGCAUUAGCGGUACUACGGUCAUCAGCUUCAGUUUGAUAAAUAUCUAGCUGUUGUUGUCGACUUAAUAUUGGUGCUGCUCAUAGUUGUCUUCGGACUAUGCUUCAUUGCAUAUACCUGAAUCUUGACCUCAAAUCAGGUAGGGCUACCCGCUGA